UACGGAGGGUGCGAGCGUUAAUCGGAAUUACUGGGCGUAAAGCGUGCGCAGGCGGUCUUGCAAGACAGAGGUGAAAUCCCCGAGCUUAACCUGGGAACUGCAUUUGAAACUGGUAGGCUAGAGUAUGGGAGAGGGGGAUAGAAUUCCGUGUGUAGCAGUGAAAUGCGUAGAGAUGCGGAGGAAUACCGAUGGCGAAGGCAACCCCCUGGAC
rnacentral:rRNA from 1 species